UACGAAAGCGAAUUGUGAAGAGAUGUCAAAAUCUGCAAUUUUUCUAGCUAUUGUCGAUUCGUCUAAGAAUAAUUAAGGCUGCAUGCCAAUCAAUGUAAAUCAUAAAAUAGAGCAUUUCUGCUGUCGACGUGGAUUUGAUUGGGAAGAACUAGAGUUAGAUCAAAUUCUUCCAAUUUUCGCUCAAUUAACUAAUGACGUUCAACAAUCAAGCAGUUAAGAAUUAAUAAAUUCAUGGUAUAUCAUGAGUGUUUUUUCAAGCGCCGUCUCCUGUGAAGCAUAUCUACCAUUUUCGUGCAAAGCUCUCUGGAAAGCGUAUUGACUGUGUAUGCAUGCAUGCAUCUAUCGAACUUCGUGCACAUAUAGACGUGAUGCUUUGACGAUAAAUACUUAUUAAAAUUCAAAUUAUUUAUUUCUGCCUUGUAAAGGUACAGACAGCAGAGGCGCAGAAAAAGCUGUCAGAUACAGAUUGACAAAGCCGCAGCCCCCUUUCGCUUGGCAGAGCCUUUACAGCGACACUUUUAAAACAAAGACAAUUGCACCCGGUAAUAACAGGUAUACAAUACUGAGCAAGUACAAAAGGAAACCAAUCAAGAUUAUACGAUAUUUGUACAAUACUCCCAAACAAGAAAACAGAACCUACAUGCUAACGUACAUAGCACCCAAAGUACUGUUCGACACGUUGAAGAAGUCAAAAUUAUUGUUCACAUAAGGUAUAUACAUAUUCGUAUAGCGCUACCAAUCCCUGCAAAAUAUAGAACGCAGAUUUUCAUUACACACACGCACGCACGCACGUGCACAGCACACACACCAAAAGGAAACGGCAACGCGCUCACAGGAAGCGCCUGAAAAACGAAAAAAAAAAGGAAAAGUGUGGGGAACCGAGGUCGUCUUGGGCUGUCGCCUCUCCCUCUCCCAGAAGGAAUGAAGAGGUUCUUGGAAAGCAGGGACGGGCGAUUCUCUCUGUCAGCAUCAGCUCCCACCAGCGAGGACGGGGCGAGAAAGCGAAACGGGACUUUCCUUGCUGUCUAUUUUUUCUUCGUCAGGCCAACGCCGCUUGCUUGCAGGGGCGCAGGCGAGUUCCCGCCAAAUGGCGCGGGUGCGUGAGUUGCCGCCAAAUGCUAGCUCUGGAUGCCAGCUCGUUCCGCGUCUCAUGGUAGACUAGUUGGUGCAUUUCUGUUAUCAUGGACUGCGCAUAUAAACGCAAGCUACACAAAAGUGACAUGGACAAGAACAGCGCAAGCCCUUUACAUGCAGUGGAGCCGCCGUAUCUCGCCGUUCAAGAUAUGCGUACUCGAAAAAAAAAAAAAAAGAGGCUUUACAUGAGAACGGAUCAAGCGUUCGAGAGUUGGGACAGGGAAAUGUGAGACGUACGUAUGUAUAUAUUUCUAAUAUUAUUUUUUCGUCUUGUAUUCUCGUUAAUUUUUCUCUAGGAAACACUGGAACGACACUGCUUAAAUUGAAGCACAGUGUGCGAAUGACCUGCUACGCUCGGAACUGUUAUCACCAUUCGGGAAGAAAUUGGGUAAGAAUGGAUUGUGUGUGGCGCGCUUCACCGCAUGUGGACUAGAGUAGAUCUAGGAACAUCAGACAAGAAGACACGUAUGUGAAACCCUGCGGAUAGCCCAUAUGUGAACUUUUUUUCCAGAUACGGAGGAACGGACACCGGUCGUGCCGUGAGCACUAUUCUGCAGGGCAUACUUACAAAUGAAGCUGCACUGCAGUUCAGCUGGAAAGGGUCGCAGGGGAGGAAGCACGCCUUCGUGAAGCUCAUGGCCAUCACGAAUAUAGCAUCUGUGAGGAGCACGUUCCCUGACGCUUCACUAGCAUCAGUGGCUGGAGUCGCAAAGCGCCGGUUGGUUGGAGCAGCUGACAGGGAUGGAGGCCGGAAUGAAAGAAGGCGCCGUGACCCUGCUUCAAGCCCACCAAAUAUGAACUAGUGUUUGAAACUUGUGAACGUGUCGGUGUACAUAUACAAUUACAAGAAAUAAAGACCUGUAUCAGAA